AAUAACUGAAUGGCUGAACAGCCUGGGAAGCUUGUAUGGUGGGCAAGUUGAAGGGGGCCAGCAGCGUGGCACUGCUGACCUGCAGCGGGUCACAAUGGCAGUCAGCGGUCUCCAUGGUAACGUCUCUGAACCAUGAGGUCAGAACUGUGGGAUGAAUGACAUCCCACGACUGGAGCAACCAUAGUGCUGAGAACAGCUUUGACUACGGUGGUUCCGGGAAGAAACAUUUCCAGGACCUAUGUAUGGGCACAGCUGUUUCCCCUGAUCAGUAUCCUUGCAGCACCCAACAGGGAAAGGAGAUUCCUCGGCAAGGAACACUGCUUAGAAAGUAUUGUACCAUGUCUCCAAAUCCCUGAGAAUCAAGUCCGGGAAACUGGAAGCAACGGAGAGCACUAUAAGGUAACUGGUGUUCAUUUGAGU